AACGAACGCUGGCGGCAUGCCUAACACAUGCAAGUCGAACGAGACCUUCGGGUCUAGUGGCGCACGGGUGCGUAACGCGUGGGAACCUGCCCUUAGGUUCGGAAUAACUCCCCGCAAGGGGUGCUAAUACCGGAUAAUGUCCUCGGACCAAAGAUUUAUCGCCUUUGGAUGGGCCCGCGUUGGAUUAGCUAGUUGGUAGGGUAAAAGCCUACCAAGGCGACGAUCCAUAGCUGGUCUGAGAGGAUGAUCAGCCACACUGGGACUGAGACACGGCCCAGACUCCUACGGGAGGCAGCAGUGGGGAAUAUUGGACAAUGGGCGAAAGCCUGAUCCAGCAAUGCCGCGUGAGUGAUGAAGGCCUUAGGGUUGUAAAGCUCUUUUAACCGGGAUGAUAAUGACAGUACCGGGAGAAUAAGCGCCGGCUAACUCCGUG
rnacentral:rRNA from 1 species